GACGAACGUUGGCGGCGUGGAUGAGGCAUGCAAGUCGAACGCGAAAGCCGCAAGGUGAGUAGAGUGGCGGACGGGCGAGUAACACGUAAUCAAGCUACCUGCGAGACGGGAAUAACCUCGGGAAACCGAGGCUAAGACCCGAUGGUCUUCAUGGACCGCAUGGUCUGGGAAGUAAAUGGGCGGGAUCCUUCGGGAUCGCCUGCUCGCAGAGGUGAUUGCGGCCC
rnacentral:rRNA from 1 species